GGAUGUGAGGCCUAUCUAGCUGCGACAUCUGUCACUCCAUUGAUCCUCAGGGUUGAUUCAGCUGAUCUGGCUGGUUAGGCGGGUGUCCCCUUCCUCCCUCAUCGCUCCAUGUGCGUCCGUCCCAAAGCUGCUUGCUCGGUCAAAGAGGACGACCUUCUCCGAAUAGAGACAGACCAGUGGUCUUCGGUCGAGGGUAUAGGAGUAGCUGUGCUCCCCUGCUAGAACCUCCAGACAAGCUCUCGAGAACCAAGGUCAUUAUGCUCAGUGAAAUAAACAAAGAAGUGAAAUAUAACUAACUAUCAAAUAAUUUCACUCAUUUCUGGAAUCUAAAU
rfam:Erinaceus europaeus unplaced genomic scaffold scaffold00064, whole genome shotgun sequence